CAGUUUUGAAAUGGCCUCAUUUACGUCAUGAAAAUUGAUACCAAACAGAGAUGCUUCCAUUCAAUUUAUCUUCCUCUUCGGAACACCAAAAGCAUUAGCAAGUCAGAUACAAAUUAGACCUCUCUUGAAUGUAAGCCUUAUGUCUGUCUUAUUCACUGUCGUGUGUCCAGGACUAAGGACAAUCACUAGCACGUGGGAAACUGGCCAGCAUCUUGUCACAGGCUGAGGAUGAAGCGGACACAGAGGAAGGCAAAGCCAGUUAAGCCACAAGCAGAUGGCGUCACAGCCAUUCAAUUCAGAUAAUCCUGAAUGGGUUCUAUCUCUGGACUUUCCAGGGAAGCGUUCCAAUCAAUUUCCCUGUGAUCAUAGUAAGAUCAAAUUGGACUUUCUGUCUUGCACUUAAAAGCAUUUUAAACUGAGAUGGCCACAUGGUGGAAAGAAGCCCUCAAUGUGGAACAAGAUACUUGGUUUACUCCCAGCACGCCACCAAUUGGCUGUGUGACCACAAGCAAGUGGUCCUUUCCCUCAUCUGAAAAGGGGAAGCUUUUGAACUAGACCAGUGGUCCUCAACCAUGGGUGGGUCUGCUCCCGUAAGAAAUAUUUGGGAAAAUGUGAGGCAUUUUUCAUGAUCACAGUAAUUGUGGAGAUACUAUUGAUAUUUGGCAGGCGGGGGACAGGGAUGCAAAAUGUCUACAAUGCGGGAUGAUCCCAUACAACAAAAAUUUGUCUAACCCAAAUUGCCUCUUGAGAUACUGCUAUAAAUGUUCCUCUUAUCUCCUGCUUCUCUUACAACUCUGUGGUCAUUUAUUCAUUUCUCUUAAUUUUCUGCUUUUUUACUCUUUGAGAUUUGCUGGCCUCUAUUUGGCUGUCUAGAUAGAGCCUAUAUAUCAGUGUUUCUCAAUUUUGGUCCCAAGGGAAGUAUGAAUCACCCUAGGGGAAUUGCUAAAAAUUCAGAUUCGUGGUCUCACUUGAAAACUACUGAAUCAGCAUCAAGAUCCCCAGGUGAGGCGUAUGCAGUCUCUAAUUUGCUUUACUUGCUUGUGCAUCUCACUAGGCCAUAAAAUGCUGACAACAUAAAAGUUUUCUUAUAAAACUGAUAAAUCACAGAUUCAGAGAACAGAUUG